rnacentral:misc_RNA from 1 species
GUUUAGUACGAGAUAGCUUGGCGCUUGUAGAAAUGGCUUCUUUUGUUGAGAAGUCAAGUGAGUUUACCAGGAACUCCGCCAAUACAUUAGCAGGUGCCGCCGCCGCCGCUGCAACUGUGGAAUAAAGGCAGGAAAAAAGAUGCUUUUGUGCGCCAUUGCAACUAAUUCUAAACAUCAAAACAAGCACCACUUGUUAUUUGUCGGCAGUAUCCUUACUUCCCCUCUGCUGCUUCACCCGCCUGAGUAGAAUGUAGAUGAGUCUUU